UGUAUGUUAUGAACAUUCAUUAAACAAAGAAUAUGCUUCGUUAAAACCUUAUUUGAAAAAAUCCUGCGGAAAAAUCCUAAUGAAGAAAAAAGAUUACAUUAUUCUUUUAAAUAAUUGCAAAAAUUGUCUCGUUAAAAUAAACUUUGACAAAAAAAUCCAAUGAGAAACAACCUUGGUUUAAGGAACAAAAUAGUACAACGUAUAUUCUCCAUCUUAUGAUAAUAUCACUUGAAUUAUAUGUUUCAUGCAUGAAAUCCUUCAAGGAUAGUAUUUAAACUGUUGACCUCCAAAAAUGGCUCCAAAAGGUUCCCUAACCUCGUCCCCUCGAAACCUGCGCAAGUAGCACCCGUCAAGAGUCAAAGGCUGCCGGACGAGAAAAAGGUCUGGUGACCGUUUACACUCCAACGGUCAAGUCAACGGUCGAACGGAAAUAGAUAUACAGAGUGCAAUAGUAUGGAGAUGGGGUUUGGCUAGAGAGUGUAGAACAUAACUUAGUUGUGUGAGUGAAUCCAUAUAUCUAGAGAAAUGGAAGUGAAAUGGGCCAAACGGGUUGGUGGGCCGAAGUCCAAGCCCAAUAAGGAGGUGAUCAUAUGAACAUAAUAAUAGGCACUUCGACGAGUGCCUCAACUGAACUCCUUAGGGCCUCGGUGGCGCCUCAGCUGACCUCGUCAGAGCCUCGACUUUGGGGCCCAAUAUGAAGUGGUAAUUUAUAGACGUAAUAGUAGUCCCCCAAGUUCGAGUCGUAUUAUUUAUAUGCGGGUCGGAUUUGAAAUAUAAACUGUCAAGUAGGCGAGGUCUUACAGAUUGCCUCAGAAAGAUGGGUAGCUCCAAUAAGCGAGGACUUACGAACUACCUUGAAAGAUAUACUGCAUAUAUUUUUUCAAAAUUUCGGCAGCAUCUCUCCUGUAAUAUGGACUAAACCAAUCCGGUAAUACAAAACAAUAUAUCCACAGCACAUAUACCAAAUAAAUUUGGGGUCCAUUUGUUCCUUCAAAUGCUUAUAACUAUAAGGUGUGACAUAUCACAUUUCUUCAAAAUAUAUGCAGACGGUCUAUCAUGCAUUAUAGUAAAUCAUGUGUUCGCACAGCUCAAUAUAUUAGUAGUACUAUAGUGAAGUAACAUGAUGUUGACAAUAAAAUGAAAAUGAUGAUAACACGACAUACGUACUGGCUAUGAUGAAAAUAAUGUAUGACAUGCUAGCAGUGAUAUAGCAUUCAUGCUUGGAAGCAGUAAUGUGAUGCAUAUGCUAGCAAUGAUAUGGCAUUCAUGCUUGGAAACAGUAAUGUGAUGCGUAUGCUAGCAUUAAAAUACAGUCUCCCAAGUCCGAGUCGUAUUAUUUAUAUGCGGGUUGGACUUGAAAUAUAAGCUACCGUGAUAAAGUUGAUGCAGAGGCAAUGCUCUGAUUGUAGUAGCAGAGGCAAUGCUCUGAACUGAAUAUAAGUAGCUGUACUGAUACUGAAGCAUACCGAUGUAUAUCAGCCGUUGACUUUUUAAGAUCAGCUGAGUGUAUGGUUGUAGGUUCAACUCUCUCUACCGAAACACUGACUAAUAGGACGACGCGUGGGAGAUGCUGAAACUUAUGAAGCUGAAGGUCGAGACACAUCUUCGACUGAGGAGCUGAAGAUUCGACGCUACUUGAGAAAGGAGCUCAUCUGCCACCGGUGCGCUGACCCACAGGGGAUGAUGCAUUGGGAGAUGGCUAAAGUUUUGUAAAGUUUAGGAGGGAACGCAGCCGCGAUGACCCACAGGGGACUCCGCAUUAGGUGCGUCUAAACUUUGUAAAACUGAGUGAUCUGCCACCAAUACGCUGACCCACAAGGGACGAUGCGCUGAGAGAUGGCUAAAACUUUGUAAAACUUAGGAGGGAAUGCAGCGGCCGAGGCGAUAACUCAUAGGGGACUCCACAUCAGGUGCGUCUAAGCUUUGUAAAGCUGAGGACAACAUCUAGUAAGGCAGGGGAUAGACGUCCCGCGAGUAACUCAAACUAUCGGAGCCAUAAGCAGCGUAGAGGACUUAAAACUCUACUCGACGAUAGUGAAGCGAGGAGAACACAUCUCGCGAAGCCAGGGAUAAACCUCUGGCGAAGUGUCGAACUAUUGGAGUUUUAUAAGCUAGCCUCAGGUUGACGAGGGCUUAAAGCUAAGCUCGACGAUAGCGAAGCGAGGAAAAGACAUCUUGCGAAGCCGGGGAUGAACAUCUGGUGAAGUGUUGAACUAUCGAAGUUUUAUAAGCUGGCCUCGAAUAGAAGAGGACAUAGAGCCAAGCUCCACGAUAGUGAAGCGAGAAAAGCGAAGCCAGGGAUAAACAUCCGGCAACCGUCGACUAUCGGAGUCUUAUAAGCUGGCCUCGACGAUAGUGAGGUGGAGAAUAAGCAUCCCGUGAACCCAGGAAUAAACAUCUGGCAAUGCAAGGAAUAAACAUCUCGCGCGGCCAAGAAGGGCUCCUUUUUCAAGGGCAAACACGUCUGGUGAUUUUUCUCGUCCUUUUUUCAAGGAAUGAGUACUCUAAUAUACUGCCUCUUCCGCAUCUUCCUUUAUUCAAGGAAAGAGAACUCCAAAAUUAUGAUGCCUCUUCCUUUAUACAAGGAACAAGGACUUCGAGAUAUCACCUCUUCCUUUAUUCAAGGAAUGAGGACUCCAAAAAUAUUGCCUCUUCCUUUAUUCAAAGAACGAGGUCUCCAAAAUGAUGCUUUGAUGAUAAGAUAUACACGAGCUAGGGCUCGCCUUCAAUAAAUAAGAGAAUCAUGAGCUCGGCUUCAAUAAUGCGAGGUUUUAGAGCUUGCCUCGGAUAAUGGAGAAGAUGAUAAAAAGGCUUUCAAUGAGCGAAAUUUGAGCUGGACAUUUGCAAGUGCUUGGUGCAAGCCACCAUCCAUUUACAGUAUAAUAUGGGCAAUAAUAGAUAACAACUCAUUUUCACAAAUAAAAUUAAGAUUCAUCUCCAUACUCCGAAAUUAUGCCAUGGCAGUAGGUUUUGCUUAGACAUGGAUGAUAAGAAUUAAUGGUAGAGCAAAUAGGAGUCAAUCCAAUCAAUAGUCAAAGUGGUAGCUAAUCAAGCCAUGGACAAUAUAUAUAUAUAUAUAUAUAUAUAAGUGUGAAUAAAUAGGGAUAACCCAACCAAAUAAUAAUAAAUAAUAGCCCACUAAGAAGCUUGUAGAUAGUGACCAUAAAAUCAACUUAGAGCUCACAGCUUACUGCCCAAUUUCAAAUGGAACUUCGAGAGUAGAAAAUAUAUUGCAAUGGUCUGAGAGAAGAUGGCACUAGAAAAUUAAAGUAUCAAAUGAGCCCCAAAUUUUCAUGUAAAAUAAUAGGGCCCAAGGAAAAUGAAUACANACUUAAUUUAUCUAAAUUAUUUAUUAUAUUUUCAAUAUCUUGAUUUGGUUUAUUAUGUAUAUUAUUUAAUUUUUUAUUUAUAUUUUCUAUUGCUUCUGUAGUCUUCAGAUCUGGAAAUUUUUCUUUAUCUUCUACUCUAGAAAUUUUAUUUAAAAUUGUUAUAUUUUGUUCUUUAAUAAAAUCUAAAUUUUCACAAAUUUUAUUAAUAUCUUUUUCAAUAUUAAAGAUUCUUUUUCCUAGAGUACUAAGUUCUCCAGUUAAUUUAUUAAUUUUUUUUAUUAAAAGAUCCAGUUUUAAAAUUCUAGUCUGAAUAAUAAAAAGAAUCUAAUGAAAAAUUUGUAUGAUCUGAUAAAUAAUUAUUAUCAAUAUUAUCUAAUUCAAUCCUUAAUUUUAGAUCUGAUAUAAAAAUCUGAUCAAAACUAUUUAUAAAAUAUUCUUCUCUAAAUUCUGAAAUUAAAGAUCUAUAUAAAAUCUGUUCUUUUAAUUCUAAAUGUAAAUUUUUUGUUACUUGUAAUAUAGCAAAUAAAUAAUCUAAAGAUUUAUUUUUUUCUAAAGAAACUAAUUCUAUAUCGUAUUCAAAAAUCUCUUCUAUUUCUUUAUAAAAUGUAAAACUAUAGAAUAUUUUUUCUAAAUCUAUAAGUAAUAUUCUAAAAAUCAUAAAACAAGUAAAAAUUAUAUAUAUAUAUAUAUAUAUAUAGGGAUAGCCCAACCAAAUAAUAAUAAAUAAUAGCCCACUAAAAAGCUUGUAGAUAGUGACCAAAAAAUCAACUUAGAGCUCACAGCUUACUGCCCAAUUUCAAAUGGAACUUCGAGGGUAGAAAAUAUAUUGCAAUGGUCUGAGGGAAGAUGGCACUAGAAAAUUAAAGUAUCAAAUGAGCCCAAAAUUUUCAUGUAAAAUAAUAAGGCCCAAGGAAAAUGAAUACAUAGGACCAAUAAUGCAUACCGUGUGUGGAGCUUAAUAAAAUACCUUCGAAUCAUUAUAAGAGAAAAGUCAGCAAAGUGAGGCACUGUAGUAGCUGGAUAGCCGACUGUGUACAACUCUUUUCUCUGAACACGCCGCUGUCGACACCUGGUCUUCAUCAUAUUAAAUGCUAAAAUGAUGUAAGAAAGCAAGAACUCUGCCGUGAAGUUCACUGUGAUGCCGGUAUUUCUUUGUAUUGUGUGGUGCUACUUGUUGUCGGAGGUUUACAUAACCAUGGUCGCCCAUUAAAAUCUUUUUCCAACUUCAAAAGGAGAAGAAAUCCGUGUUUGCCGUGCCUCCUUCUUUUGCUUUUGUUUUGGACUUAGACUUUCUUUCCUUCUGGACGUGGAUCUUGUGAACAGAGACUCCAUUUUUUUUUUGAGUUCAUAUGAGAAGGGAGUUAAAGUAAUUGAUUUAAGAAUAAAUCCUUUAAAAUUUCCUUUGUACGGGGAAGCAAAAGUAGAUAAUUCCAGCAAGAGGAGUAUUUUUCUUGUUUCAAACGUGAAGGCAGAACCUUCUAGGUGUGGAUGGCCAUUUCUUUCCUAAUCACCAUUCUCAUGACUUUUUUCUUCAAUUUGGGCACGAGAAACUCCACCAAAAAUUAAUUUCAGUUUGCCAAACUAUUUCCUCCCUUUCAUUAGCUGUGUUUUGUGCCGGAAAUAACCAUCGAGUUUCUUCAACCCUCUUCUAGUUACUGCCUUUUCUUCUUCAUUCUUGGUUGCUAUCUUUGCUCGUUUUUGGUAGAGAGCUGAUCGGAAAAAUUCUCCCUUUUCGAUAGCUUUUGGGAUGUAAUAUAACAUGGUUAACAUACCAUUUUACACAGACAGUGUCAAUCUGUUUACCUCCACAAAUGGCUCCAACAGGUUCCCUAGCCUCGUCCCCUCAAAACCUGCACAAGUAGCACACCGUCAAAAGGCAAAGGCGGUCAGACGAAAAAAGGGUCCUGCGAUCUUUUGCACUCCGACGAUCAAGUCAACGGCCGGACGGAGAUGGAUAUAUAGAGUGCAAUAAUAUGGAGUAAUGGUUUGAUUAGAAAGUGUAGAACAUAUCUUAGUUGUGUAAGUGAAUCCAUAUAUAUAGAGAAAUAGAAGUAAAAUGGGCCAAACGGGUUGGCGGGUCGAAGUCCAAGCUCAAUAAGGAGGUGAUCAUAUGAAUAUAAUAAUAGGCACUUUGGCGAGCGCCUCCGCUGAACUCCUUAGGGCCUCGGUGGCGCCUCGACUGGCCUCAUCAGAACCUCGACUUUGGGGCCUAAUAUGAAGUGGUAAUUUAUAGGUGUAACAAAAAUCAUAUAAGGUAAUUUGGCUAUAAUCAUAUUUACUACAUGCAUACCAAAUUGCAUGCAUUGCUAGACUAACAAGAUACUUAUAAUUGCAUCCUCCAUUAGAUAAUUUAUCUAUUUACACAAGUUUUCACUGAAUUCAAUAUGUAAAGAAUUGUACAUUUUACAUUACGAUUUUACUUUUUCUAUUUUCAUUUCGCAUAAGUAUAAAUCUUUAGGUAUUUCGACUGUAGAUCUAGAAGCUUUAUAUUUAUCUAGUAAAUUCAAUCGUGC
rnacentral:lncRNA from 1 species